rnacentral:rRNA from 1 species
ACUCCUGCGGGAGGCAGCAGUGGGGAAUUUUGGACAAUGGGCGAAAGCCUGAUCCAGCCAUGCCGCGUGCAGGAUGAAGGCCUUCGGGUUGUAAACUGCUUUUGUACGGAACGAAACGGCCUUUUCUAAUAAAGAGGGCUAAUGACGGUACCGUAAGAAUAAGCACCGGCUAACUACGUGCCAGCAGCCGCGGUAAUACGUAGGGUGCAAGCGUUAAUCGGAAUUACUGGGCGUAAAGCGUGCGCAGGCGGUUAUGUAAGACAGUUGUGAAAUCCCCGGGCUCAACCUGGGAACUGCAUCUGUGACUGCAUAGCUAGAGUACGGUAGAGGGGGAUGGAAUUCCGCGUGUAGCAGUGAAAUGCGUAGAUAUGCGGAGGAACACCGAUGGCGAAGGCAAUCCCCUGGACCUGUACUGACGCUCAUGCACGAAAGCGUGGGGAGCAAACAGGAUUAGAAACCCCUGUAGUCCCAUG